rnacentral:rRNA from 1 species
AUUGAACGCUGGCGGCAGGCCUAACACAUGCAAGUCGAGCGUGCGGCGCACGGGUGAGUUAUGUAUCGGGACUGCCCGAUAGCGGGGGAUAACUACUGGAAUCGGUGCCUAAUACCGCAUCCUAUCGGAUAACCCAUAUGGGAUUAGCUAGUAGGUGGGGUAAAGGAUCACCUAGGCGACGAUCUCUAGCUGGUCUGAGAGGAUGAUCAGUCACACUGGGACGAGGACACGGCCCAGAAUCCGACGGAGGCAGCAGUGGGGAAUAUUCGACAAGGGGCGGAAGCCUGAUGCAGCCAAGCCGGGUGUAUGAAGAAGGCCUUAGGGUUGUAAAGUACUUCCAGCUGCGAGGCGUUACCCGCAGAAUAAGCACCGGCUAACUACGUGCCAGCAGCCGCGGUAAUAC